rnacentral:rRNA from 1 species
CCUACGGGUGGCAGCAGUGGGGAAUAUUGGACAAUGGGCGCAAGCCUGAUCCAGCCAUGCCGCGUGAGUGAUGACGGCCUUAGGGUUGUAAAGCUCUUUCGACGGGGACGAUAAUGACGGUACCCGUAGAAGAAGCCCCGGCUAACUUCGUGCCAGCAGCCGCGGUAAUACGAAGGGGGCUAGCGUUGUUCGGAAUCACUGGGCGUAAAGCGCACGUAGGCGGACUUUUAAGUCAGGGGUGAAAUCCCGAGGCUCAACCUCGGAACUGCCUUUGAUACUGGGGGUCUGGAGUCCGGAAGAGGUUGGUGGAACAGCUAGUGUAGAGGUGAAAUUCGUAGAUAUUAGCUAGAACACCAGUGGCGAAGGCGGCCAACUGGUCCGGUACUGACGCUGAGGUGCGAAAGCGUGGGGAGCAAACAGGAUUAGAUACCCCAGUAGUC